rnacentral:rRNA from 1 species
UACGUAGGUGGCAAGCGUUGUCCGGAAUUAUUGGGCGUAAAGCGCGCGCAGGUGGUUCCUUAAGUCUGAUGUGAAAGCCCACGGCUCAACCGUGGAGGGUCAUUGGAAACUGGGGAACUUGAGUGCAGAAGAGGAAAGUGGAAUUCCAAGUGUAGCGGCGAAAUGCGUAGAGAUUUGGAGGAACACCAGUGGCGAAGGCGACUUUCUGGUCUGUAACUGACACUGAGGCGCGAAAGCGUGGGGAGCAAACAGG